GUUGGCUAAAUAUGCCACGUUCAUCCUAGAUUGGUGAAUGCUGUAUGGCUAUCAAGACAUAUGGCCGACAUAAUUUCUGGAACUCAAAAAGGGUUGGCUCCCCUGGCCGACCCUGUAAUUUAAUUUAAAGGAUUUAUCUCCACGGAGUUGUCAGAUUAACGAUCAGGAGGUACCCAAACGUUCACGGCGUAGAGAGCUGCACAACUGACCGAUCAAUUUCUGGAUUCUAGUUGAUGUGAGCAAAGGUAGAUGAGGUGCCCCUGGAGCAGGCCCUGGAGAGCAACGACGCAACUGUCUAGUUUAGUUAGUUAUCUAUUUUAUUUAGUGUAGUUUUGAAAUGCUCUUUUGUAUAUAAAGUUUUAUAUUUUAUAACC